AGCACACAGAGAUGCCAGACAUCUGAACACAGCUCCGGGGGAAGGUGUGCCAGUCCAGAAACACGGAGGGCUCAUCCGGCACCCGCACCUUCGCCUCUGAAAUCAGGCCCUGUCCUCACAGGGGGCUACCUCAUCACUGCGCCCAGCCCCAGGGGAACCUGCGGCUCCUUCUCUGAUGGACGCCCCUUCCAGCAGCCCGGUG